rnacentral:rRNA from 1 species
CAGUCGCCACGGUAAGACAGAGGAUGCAAGCGUUAUCCGGAAUGAUUGGGCGUAAAGCGUCUGUAGGUGGCUUUUCAAGUCCGCCGUCAAAUCCCAGGGCUCAACCCUGGACAGGCGGUGGAAACUACCAAGCUGGAGUACGGUAGGGGCAGGGGGAAUUUCCGGUGGAGCGGUGAAAUGCGUUGAGAUCGGAAAGGACACCAACGGCGAAAGCACUCUGCUGGGCCGACACUGACACUGAGAGACGAAAGCUAGGGGAGCAAAUGGGAUUAGAUACCCGUGUAGUCCCUGUCUCUUAUAC